ACGCGAGGAACCUUACCAGGUCUUGACAUCCCGCUGGCCGGUCUGGAGACAGAUCUUCCCCUUCGGGGGCAGCGGUGACAGGUGGUGCAUGGUUGUCGUCAGCUCGUGUCGUGAGAUGUUGGGUUAAGUCCCGCAACGAGCGCAACCCUUGAUCUUAGUUGCCAGCAUUUAGUUGGGCACUCUAAGGUGACUGCCGGUGACAAACCGGAGGAAGGUGGGGAUGACGUCAAAUCAUCAUGCCCCUUAUGACCUGGGCUACACACGUGCUACAAUGGAUGGUACAAAGGGCUGCAAGACCGCGAGGUUUAGCCAAUCCCAUAAAACCAUUCUCAGUUCGGAUUGCAGGCUGCAACUCGCCUGCAUGAAGCUGGAAUCGCUAGUAAUCGCGGAUCAGCAUGCCGCGGUGAAUACGUUCCCGGGCCUUGUACACACCGCCCGU
rnacentral:rRNA from 1 species